UUUUUUGCAUAAAUUCUUCACUAUUUUCACAGCAGAUUCAGUUUUGCCAUUAGCUUGUGGAUGACAUGGUGAAGAAGUCACAUGCUCAAACUCCCAUUCAGUGGCAAAUUUCCUGAACUGUAAGCUUGCAAACUGAGGACCAUUUUCAGAAAUCACUUUAGUUGGUUGGCCAUGACGUGCAUGACCUUGCAUCGAUUAAUUGUAGUUUCAGUGGACAGGUCAGGAAGCAGUUCAAUUUCCCAGAAGUCUGAGUAAUGAUCGACUAAGAGCAGGUACUCUUUUCCA